AUCGGAGUCCGUAGCGAAUUUCCAUUGGACGAGCCCUUUUGUCAGUCACCCGGCAGGCGACAUGACUGAUACAAAGUUGCUGCGACACAAGCUAGAAAAUGUAUCUCUUCUUAAAGCUGUAGAAGCCUCUGUAGCAAAGCGGCUCGCGUCGCUUUCCGGGGGGAGGGGGGGGAGGCUGUAAAUUCCCUCCCACCCCACCCGAUCAGUCCCAGGGAAAGUGAGAUUUAGGAAUCAAUCUUUGAAAGACGAACAACUUUCACAAGAGCAACAACAACGGAGGGAUGAAGGCAGCUUCUACAAGGGAAACUCGCUCAAUCCGGCCUCUCAACGGGAGUUAGAACUUGAUCCCACGCCCUCAAGUUGGCAGCCCUUCCUAAAUUGCAUCCGUCUAACCGUUUCCUCUUAAAAAAAAAACCAUGCUGGGAUCCGAACAGGAGGGUUCGAUUCCCAAGGCAGCCCUGCCCACCCCUCGAGACACGAUCUCUACCUGUAUCAAGAGCUGGAAUGUGCAGAGCAUCCGUGAUGAAGUCUGGGCAUGUAGGCGGAGCCUCCUGUUGCCACCACUACCGGUUUGCCUGAAUCGUUGCAAACCAGCAGGAUACCACCUUUGGAAUUGUCAUUGGCUCUUGUACAUGAUGGAAUAAGCUGAGAGGCAGUCUGAAGAUUAUUGCACCCCACCUGGUUUCCAAUUAUAAAAAGAAAAUGCUGAGACCACCAGAGUGUAGGCGUGUGAAGGAGAAAGACGGGACAGCAUAAAGGAAAAAAAUUGCAGCUGAGGAAAUGUCAGUUCAGCAGGCAAUGAAUGGUAAAGAAGGAGCAGGCUUGUACUUCACCAAAGCAAUAGCAACUAAGCUGAAAGGAGAAACAGAUUCCAGCAGCUUCCCUAUUCCAGCAGCACCACUGACAAACUACGGCCAGACAGCAGCUGGUAAAUCAUUUUCCUUUUCUCACCCCAGCAUGGACUGAGAAACUGCCAGACCAAUGUUCCAGUAGCAGUUUAACACAGUACUGAACCAUGCAAUGUCACAUGACAAAAUAUAAAAUUAAAACUGAGGGACGCAGUGGCUCA